GCAUUAGCUAGUUGGUAAGGUAACGGCUUACCAAGGCAACGAUGCAUAGCCGACCUGAGAGGGUGAUCGGCCACACUGGAACUGAGACACGGUCCAGACUCCUACGGGAGGCAGCAGUAGGGAAUCUUCCGCAAUGGGCGAAAGCCUGACGGAGCAACGCCGCGUGAGUGAUGAAGGUCUUCGGAUCGUAAAACUCUGUUAUUAGGGAAGAACAUAUGUGUAAGUAACUGUGCACAUCUUGACGGUACCUAAUCAGAAAGCCACGGCUAACUACGUGCCAGCAGCCGCGGUAAUACGUAGGUGGCAAGCGUUAUCCGGAAUUAUUGGGCGUAAAGCGCGCGUAGGCGGUUUUUUAAGUCUGAUGUGAAAGCCCACGGCUCAACCGUGGAGGGUCAUUGGAAACUGGAAAACUUGAGUGCAGAAGAGGAAAGUGGAAUUCCAUGUGUAGCGGUGAAAUGCGCAGAGAUAUGGAGGAACACCAGUGGCGAAGGCGACUUUCUGGUCUGUAACUGACGCUGAUGUGCGAAAGCGUGGGGAUCAAACAGGAUUAGAU
rnacentral:rRNA from 1 species